CUUUAGGACAAAUAAUUUGAAGCAUUAAUAUUUCUUGUUCAAUACCACUGCUGAUAGCACCUCCGUAUGUUGUGACCAGGAUGCAGCAGCAGACUGAACCUCGACUGAAACCUGCUCCAUCAUCUCAUCUUUGCAGAUGUCCAUUUAUAAAGCAUCAACAACUCAAAGGAGCCGUCCUCAGAUUCAGACCUCAGCACCACCCAGUGACAGCAGACAGAUCAUCCUAUAUCUUCAAUCUUUGUAGUAACUCCAAAAUUAACUGAAGAAAACAGUACAAAGGUUAAAGUACCACAUGUGCUGUCAGUGAAAGCUGCAGCUGUUUUAUUGAUAAAUUUAAAGACAAAAAGUCAAAAGGAUUAAUCACCCCUGUAACUGUGUCACUAUACAUCAGCAUUAACAGGACCUCAGUUUGGUGUUUCAGAAAACUGCUGAUCUCAGACCUGCACAGCUUCUGUUUUAAACACUGAAUGUACUCAGCUACAUGAAGAGCAUGUGAUGUUUUCUCUGACACAAUUAAAUAAAACCUGAUUAAAGUCAAAGGUUGUUACUUGUAUUUGAACUAAAAA